rnacentral:miRNA from 1 species
UCGGCUCUCUCCCUCACCCUAG